GGCUGCUCAUCUGUGUCCCAUGGACACAUUCCCCAUUAUGAAUUAGUCUACAUCUAUAUGCUUUUGAAUGUCAAUAAUUGUUGAUUUUCUGACAGAAUUACUCUGAUAUUUAAUUUCAGGUUGCAAGUACAUUUGUACAUGUACAUGCAAAUGGAAGGAGUGAUCUUGGAAUGUUCAACUUUACUUGGAAACUAUUGGCAAAGUACUGACAGAAUUUUAUGAGAAGCCAGUUUCAUCUAGUCUUGCAACCGGAAACUAUGUGUAAAGUGCUGAAACUUAAGAACAACAUUCUACAUGUAUAUGCAA
rnacentral:lncRNA from 1 species